CUGGUCUCGCUGAUCCCUCCUUUCUGAAGAACUGUAAUGUCAUUAAUUUGGUGUUGCAGGGAAACAGGACUGUUACUUUGAAAAAAUUAGAGUGUUUAAAGCAGGCUAACGCUUGAAUACAUUAGCAUGGAAUAAUGAAAUAGGACGUUCAAACCUAUUUUGUUGGUUUCUAGGAUUGACGUAAUGAUUAAUAGGGAUAGUUGGGGGCAUUAGUAUUCAAUUGUCAGAGGUGAAAUUCUUGGAUUUAUUGAAGACUAACUACUGCGAAAGCAUUUGCCAAGGAUGUUUUCAUUAAUCAAGAACGAAAGUUAGGGGAUCGAAGACGAUCAGAUACCGUCGUAGUCUUAACCAUAAACUAUGCCGACUAGGGAUCGGAUGAUGUUAAUUUUUUAAUGACUCAUUCGGCGCCUUACG
rnacentral:rRNA from 1 species